GCCAAGCCCCCUCUUAUCCUCUCUUCCUGUCCCAACCCAUCAGCAGGGGGAAGAAAGAAAAAGAAAGAAAGAAGGUCUGGCCCUCCCCCCAGGGCAAGAAAGUCACCCUUAGAGGUCCUUUCCUAUGACUGCCUCUCUCAAGAGCUCCUUGGCCGCAAAGCUGCUUUCCAAGCCAAACCCAAAUAUAUUACAUGAAACUGGAAAUUUCAGGAUCUAACAAUAAUGUUGGGCAGCUCAUCACCCUGCCAGCAACUCAGAGAACAGUCUUGCAGGCAACCAAACCUGAUGCUUUCCAGAUUCCCGGUACGGCUGAAGCAAGUGCCCUGCUUCCUAUAUUGGAUAACAAAGAUUCCUACCCCACAGUAUGUACUAAUCCCAAUUUGACAAGUACACUCUCUGUGUUGCCAUCUUACUAGAUGGCAAGAACCUAGUUUUCCUUUAUUUGGGUCAUAGGCCACCCUGUCAAGUAACUAGUCAAGAUUACUGGCCUCCUCUAACUUCAGGCCAACUCAGUGUUGGGACCAAUGACCGGGCACUGCCCAGGCCUGGCCCUUCUGCUCCCUCCUCUUUGAGGGAAGCUGUUCAGAGGGAAAAAUAAGACAAA